rnacentral:tRNA from 1 species
CGGGCUUGGCGUAGCCUGGUAGCGUACGUGCAUGGGGUGCACAGGUGCGGAGGUGCGAAUCCUCUCGCCCCGACCA